CCUACGGGUGGCUGCAGUGGGGAAUAUUGGACAAUGGGGGGAACCCUGAUCCAGCCAUGCCGCGUGUGUGAAGAAGGCCCUCGGGUUGUAAACCACUUUCAGUGAGGAAGAACGCCUGGUGGUUAAUACCCAUCAGGAAAGACAUCACUCACAGAAGAAGCACCGGCUAACUCCGUGCCAGCAGCCGCGGUAAUACGGAGGGUGCGAGCGUUAAUCGGAAUUACUGGGCGUAAAGCGCGCGUAGGUGGCUUGAUAAGCCGGUUGUGAAAGCCCCGGGCUCAACCUGGGAACGGCAUCCGGAACUGUCAAGCUAGAGUGCAGGAGAGGAAGGUAGAAUUCCCGGUGUAGCGGUGAAAUGCGUAGAGAUCGGGAGGAAUACCAGUGGCGAAGGCGGCCUUCUGGACUGAAACUGACACUGAGGUGCGAAAGCGUGGGUAGCAAACAGGAUUAGAUACCCCUGUAGUC
rnacentral:rRNA from 1 species